GGGCGAAAGCCUGAUGCAGCCAUGCCGCGUGAAUGAUGAAGGCCUUAGGGUUGUAAAAUUCUUUCGCCAGGGAUGAUAAUGACAGUACCUAGUAAAGAAGCCCCGGCUAACUUCGUGCCAGCAGCCGCGGUAAUACGAAGGGGGCUAGCGUUGUUCGGAAUUACUGGGCGUAAAGCGCACGUAGGCGGACUUUUAAGUCAGAUGUGAAAUCCCGGGGCUCAACCUCGGAACUGCAUUUGAAACUGGAAGUCUAGAGACCAGGAGAGGUUAGCGGAAUACCGAGUGUAGAGGUGAAAUUCGUAGAUAUUCGGUGGAACACCAGUGGCGAAGGCGGCUAACUGGACUGGUACUGACGCUGAGGUGCGAAAGUGUGGGGAGCAAACAGGAUUAGAUACCCUGGUAGUCCACACCGUAAACGAUGAGAGCUAGUUGUUGGCAGGCAUGCCUGUCGGUGACGCAGCUAACGCAUUAAGCUCUCCGCCUG
rnacentral:rRNA from 1 species